GGUGGGUUUAGGGCACCCAUGGGUGCUAUGGGAAGGAGAUAGGGGUUGGGGCACCCAUGGGUGCUAUGGGUUUGGAGGUAUGGAGUUGGGGACCCAUGGGUGCUAUGGGGCAGGAGAUAGGGGUUGGGGCACCCAUGGGUGCUGUGGGGCUGGAGAUACAGGUUUAGGGCACCUAUGGGUGCCAGAAGGCUGGACAUAGGAGUUUGAGCACCCAUGGGUACUAUGGGGCAGGAGGUAGAGGUUGGGGCACCCAUGGGUGCUAUGGAUAGGAGAUAAUGAUCUAGGGCACCCAUGGGUGCUGUGGGGCUGGAGGUGUGGAGUUGGGCACCCAUGGGUGCUGUGGGGCUGGAGAUAAGGUUCUGUAGCACCCAUGGGUGCUAUGGGGCAGGAGACGGGUUCAUAGCACCCACGGGUGCAAUGGGGGCAGCAGACCACGGGCGCAGGACCCCCGGGGGUGGGUGGGGGGGUGGUGGUGUGGGGGUGUCUGCGGGCGUUCCGGGGGCACCCUUGGGUGCUGCUGUCCCAUGGGUGCCCCCCCCCCGUCCCCCCAGACGACGGGCGGCUGGAGGAGCUCAAGGCCUCGCUGCCCAGCCCCGAGGAGCUGCCCGGCUUCCGCAUGUACCCCAUCGACUUCGAGAAGGUGGGUGCCCCCCCUCCCCCACCCCCCAGCACCCAUGGGUGCCCCUGCCCACCCC
rnacentral:lncRNA from 1 species